GAUCAGUGGCUCGAGGACGAACGCUGGCGGCGUGCCUAACACAUGCAAGUCGAACGGACGAGGGGAGCUUGCUCCCCGAGUUAGUGGCGAACGGGUGAGUAACGCGUGAGCAACCUGCCUUUCAGAGGGGACAACGGUUGGAAACGACCGCUAAUACCGCAUGAAGCAAUCGGACCGCAUGAUCUGAUUGCCAAAGUAUUUUAUCGCUAGAAAGAUGGCUCGCGUCUGAUUAGAUAGUUGGUGGGGUAACGGCUCACCAAGUCGACGAUCAGUAGCCGGACUGAGAGGUUGAACGGCCACAUUGGGACUGAGAUACGGCCCAGACUCCUACGGGAGGCAGCAGGUGGGGAAUAUUGGGCAAAGUGGGGAAACCCUGACCCAGCAACGCCGCGUGAAGGAAGAAGGUCGUUUCGGGUUAGUAACUUCUUUACCGAGGGACGAAGGACGUGACGGUACCUGGAGAAAAAGCCACGGCUAACUACGUGCCAGCAGCGGC
rnacentral:rRNA from 1 species